rnacentral:rRNA from 1 species
UACGUAGGGGGCGAGCGUUGUCCGGAUUUACUGGGCGUAAAGCGCGUGUAGGCGGCCGGCUAAGUCGGGUGUGAAAGCCCGGGGCUCAACCCCGGGAUGCCACCCGAGACUGGUCGGCUUGAGGACGGAAGAGGGGCGUGGAAUUCCUGGUGUAGCGGUGAAAUGCGUAGAGAUCAGGAGGAACACCCGUGGCGAAGGCGGCGCCCUGGUCCGUUACUGACGCUGGAGACGGCGAAAGCGCGGGGAGCGAACGGG